rnacentral:rRNA from 1 species
GAUGAACGCUGGCGGCGUGCCUAAUACAUGCAAGUCGAGCGAACAGACGAGGAGCUUGCUCCUCUGACGUUAGCGGCGGACGGGUGAGUAACACGUGGAUAACCUACCUAUAAGACUGGGAUAACUUCGGGAAACCGGAGCUAAUACCGGAUAAUAUAUUGAACCGCAUGGUUCAAUAGUGAAAGACGGUUUUGCUGUCACUUAUAGAUGGAUCCGCGCCGCAUUAGCUAGUUGGUAAGGUAACGGCUUACCAAGGCAACGAUGCGUAGCCGACCUGAGAGGGUGAUCGGCCACACUGGAACUGAGACACGGUCCAGACUCCUACGGGAGGCAGCAGUAGGGAAUCUUCCGCAAUGGGCGAAAGCCUUACGGAGCAACGCCGCGUGAGUGAUGAAGGUCUUCGGAUCGUAAAACUCUGUUAUUAGGGAAGAACAAAUGUGUAAGUAACUAUGCACGUCUUGACGGUACCUAAUCAGAAAGCCACGGCUAACUACGUG